ensembl:ncRNA C45B2.17 ncRNA
GAAGAAAAAGAAACGUCGAGUUUCUGACGCAUUGUAAACCAAUGUCUACUCGUCAUUGUCCGGAAGUGGUCGAGGAUUAUGUUGGAAAAAUGCACUGGCAUAGUUUAAAAUAGGGGCUGGCGACACCAAUGGACCGAGCAAAAGGGGAGCACAUCGAGCGGAACGGAUGAAGAAUG